rnacentral:rRNA from 1 species
CACGUGGGUAAUUUGCCGGGGAGCCCGGGAUAACUCCGAGAAAUCGGAGCUAAUACCGGAUGUGAUUGGGAACUGGCAUCAGUUUCCACUCAAAGUUGGGGAUCGAAAGACCUGACACUUCCAGAUGAGCCCGCGGCCUAUCAGCUAGUUGGCGGGGUAACGGCCCACCAAGGCUAAGACGGGUAGCUGGUCUGAGAGGACGACCAGCCACACUGGAACUGAGACACGGUCCAGACACCUACGGGUGGCAGCAGUCGAGAAUUUUUCACAAUGGGGGAAACCCUGAUGGAGCGACGCCGCGUGGGGGAUGAAUGGCUUCGGCCCGUAAACCCCUGUCAUUUGCGAACAAACCCUGCAGUUUAAGAGAUGGCAGGCUGAUCGUAGCAGAAGAGGAAGGGACGGCUAACUCUGUGCCAGCAGCCGCGGUAAUACAGAGGUCCCAAGCGUUGUUCGGAUUCACUGGGCGUAAAGGGUGCGUAGGCGGCGAGGUAAGUUUGAGGUGAAAUCUCCGGGCUCAACCCGGAAGCGGCCUUGAAGACUAUCUUGCUAGAGGAUCGGAGGGGAGAUCGGAAUUCUCGGUGUAGCAGUGAAAUGCGUAGAUAUCGAGAGGAACACCAGUGGGGAAGGCGGAUCUCUGGACGAAACCUGACGCUGAGGCACGAAAGCCAGGGGAGCAAACGGGAUUAGAUACCCCGGUAGUCCUGGCCCUAAACGGUGCGCACUUGCUGUAGGCGGAAUCGACCCCGUCUGUGGCGAAGGAAACCCGAUAAGUGC